GACGAACGCUGGCGGCGUGCCUAAUACAUGCAAGUAGGACGCAGUUGCGAACGGGUGAGUAACGCGUAGGUAACUACCUAUUAGAGGGGGAUAACUACUGGAAACGAUAGCUAAUACCGCAUACUAGUAGAUGGACCUGCGUUGGAUUUGCUAGUAGGUAGGGUAAUGGGCUACCUAGGCAACGAUACAUAGCCGACCUGGGAAGGUGAUCGGCCAAACUGGGACUUGGGAAAGGCCCAGAAUCCUUCGGGAGGCAGCAGUAGGGAAUCUUCGGCAAUGGGGGGAACCCUGAACGAGGAAAGCCGCGUGAGUGGAGAAAGUUUUCGGAUCGUAAAGCUCUGUUGUGAAGGAAGCGGUACUUAACCAGAAAGGGACGGCUAACUACGUGCCAGCAGCCGCGGUAAUAC
rnacentral:rRNA from 1 species